rnacentral:rRNA from 1 species
AACGAACGCUGGCGGCGUGCCUAACACAUGCAAGUCGAACGAGAAAGGGGCUUCGGCUCCGAGUAAAUUGGCGCACGGGUGAGUAACACGUGGGUAACCUGCCUCUAAGAUUGGGCUAACUCGUCUACAGAUGAGCUAAUACCGAAUAAGACCACAGUUCCCGCGGGAACAGGGGUCAAAGGUAGCCUCUGCUUGCAAGCUAUCACUUAGAGUUGGGCCUGCGCACCCUUAGCUAUUUGGUAGGGUAAAGGCCUACCAAGGCAAAGAUGGUUAGCUGGUCUGAGAGGAUGAUAAGCCAAACUGGAAAUGAGAAAAGGGCCAGACUCCUACGGGAAGCAGCAGUGGGGAAUAUUGCGCAAUGGGCGAAAGCUUGACGCAGCAACGCCGCGUGAGGGAUGAAGGCCUUCGGGUCGUAAAGCUCUGUCGGGAGGAACGAAAGAUACUGAGGUUAACAGCCUCGGGAGGUGACGGUACCUAAAAAGGAAGCACCGGCUAACUCUGUG